rnacentral:rRNA from 1 species
GACGGAGGGUGCGAGCGUUGUCCGGAAUCACUGGGCGUAAAGGGCGCGUAGGCGGCCUGAUAAGUAGGGGGUGAAAUCUUGCGGCUCAACCGCAAGGCUGCCUUCUAAACUGUCAGGCUGGAGCACGGUAGAGGCAGAUGGAAUUCCCGGUGUAGCGGUGGAAUGCGUAGAGAUCGGGAAGAACACCAGUGGCGAAGGCGGUCUGCUGGGCCGUUGCUGACGCUGAGGCGCGACAGCGUGGGGAGCAAACAGG